rnacentral:rRNA from 1 species
UACGUAGGGCGCAAGCGUUGUCCGGAAUUAUUGGGCGUAAAGAGCUCGUAGGUGGCUUGUCACGUCGGGUGUGAAAGCUUGGGGCUUAACUCCAGGUCUGCAUUCGAUACGGGCUGGCUAGAGGUAGGUAGGGGAGAACGGAAUUCCUGGUGUAGCGGUGAAAUGCGCAGAUAUCAGGAGGAACACCGGUGGCGAAGGCGGUUCUCUGGGCAGUAACUGACGCUGAGGAGCGAAAGCGUGGGGAGCGAACAGG